GCACUGUCCAGAUCAUAUGUGAUGCUGCAUACAUCAUUUCUAAUGUGGAGGCCACGUGACCUGGGUCUGUUCAUGACUCCAGGAUUUAUGGAGAGUCUAACCUGAGCAACAGACUGCAGCGUGGAGAGUUUGAUGGCCUUCUGCUGGGUGACAGGGGUUACCAUGCCAACCCAGGCUGAUGACCUCAUACCCUGACCCUGAACCAGGCCCCCAACAGAACUUCAACCGGGCUCACUGCAGGACCAGAGCCCGGGUGGAGAUGACCAUAGGCCUGCUGAAAGCCCGUUUCCAGAGCCUACGUCUCCUCAGGGUGACCCCUGAGAGGGCCUGUGAUAUUACUGUGGCAUGUGUUGUUCUUCAUAAUAUUACCACUAUUAGAGGAGAGCAACACCCUGCCCUACAAACUGCAGACCCAGAUGAUGAGCCCAUCCACCUGCAGCUAUCCAGGACAGCAGAGCAGUCAGAGACACCGUAUGCAAUAAUCACUUUAGAGUUUAAGUCACCAUCAUCACCACCACAGCAAAUAAAGACAUGAUACACA